AACAAACGCUGGCGGCGUGCCUAAUACAUGCAAGUCGAACGGGGAAAGCUUUCGGGUGAGUACUAGUGGCGCACGGGUGAGUAACGCGUGGAUAAUCUGCCUUAGAGUGGGGGAUAACUAGUCGAAAGAUUAGCUAAUACCGCAUAAGACCACAAGAACUGCGGUUCAAGAGGUCAAAGGUUUUUCGCUCUAAGAUGAGUCCGCGUAAGAUUAGCUAGUUGGUGAGGUAACGGCUCACCAAGGCAACGAUCUUUAACUGGUCUGAGAGGAUGAUCAGUCACACGGGAACUGAGACACGGUCCAGACUCCUACGGGAGGCAGCAGUAGGGAAUAUUGCACAAUGGAGGAAAUGCUGAUGCAGCGACGCCGCGUGAGUGAUGAAGGCCUUCGGGUCGUAAAGCUCUGUCGCAGGGGAAUAACACAAUGAAUGUACCCUGUAAGAAAGGAUCGGCUAACUUCGUGCCAGCCGCCGCGGUAAAAC
rnacentral:rRNA from 1 species